CCUACGGGAGGCUGCAGUGGGGAAUAUUGGGCAAUGGGCGCAAGCCUGACCCAGCAACGCCGCGUGAAGGAAGAAGGCUUUCGGGUUGUAAACUUCUUUUAUGAGGGACGAAAGAAAUGACGGUACCUCAUGAAUAAGCCACGGCUAACUACGUGCCAGCAGCCGCGGUAAUACGUAGGUGGCAAGCGUUAUCCGGAUUUACUGGGUGUAAAGGGCGUGUAGGCGGGACUUCAAGUCAGAUGUGAAAAUUUUGGGCUCAACCUCUAAACUGCAUUUGAAACUGUAGGGCUUGAGUGAUGGAGAGGCAGGCAGAAUUCCGGGUGUAGCGGUGAAAUGCGUAGAUAUACGGAGGAACACCAGUGGCGAAGGCGGCCUGCUGGACAUAAACUGACGCUGAGGUGCGAAAGCGUGGGGAGCAAACAGGAUUAGAUACCCGAGUAGUC
rnacentral:rRNA from 1 species